rnacentral:pre_miRNA from 1 species
UAACCUCCGCAGGCUGGCCGGUCCUAGGAAAGUAGUUCUUCGAAAGGCUCACUCUCAAGCAUGACUAGGAGC